UUAUCGUUCAUGAGAGCGGAUGGGAAGAAGGAUCGCCGUCGGGAAUCCGUUUCAGAUAUGGAUCUGAUGCUACAAAAUUGUCAUGCUACAGAGUGCACACAAAAUCAACCCAAGGGAUGGUCUCCACAAGACCAGAUGUUUCAGUGUCACUCCAAAUGUCUUAGUCAGUUGGGCGAAUUCACUUCGAGGUACCAAAUGAAAAAUGGUGGGCGCCAUUUCGAUCAAACUCGUGAGUUCUCCAUCAAGGGCAGUGACAUCACCAUCUGCUCUUUCUUAGCAGACGUAGCAAGCAGCCAGCACACACAGGAUCUCAAGAAUGACGCAUUCAGUAGCUGGUACAGCCGCAGCACCAGCGAUCCUUGGAGAAACGGACUCAACAGGUUCCGUUGCCACGGAAACUAAACUCCCGAUCCGCAGAGAGAAACUCAAGAUGCGACCUUGAGUAGAGGUCAGUGGAAGACGCUGACCAUGUCAUCUGAACCUGCUUGAA